GGGUUUAUGCCCGAAACGUCGAUUCUCCUGCUCCUUGGAUGCUGCCUGACUUGCUGCGCUUUUUCAGCAACACAUCUAUCGUGCUGCGUAGACUUAUUGAGUUGUUGUACAAUCCCACGUGUAGAAACGCACAAUUCCUUCACCAUAUUGAUACACUGCAGAGUCUUGCAGGGCUUCAAUUCCAUGCCUUUGCUGAGCUUCCUGUGGGAGGGUGUCCCAAAGGUUAGACUUGAUGCUGCAUCCACUACCACAUCCAUUUUAACGAGUUACUCCUCAAGUUUCUUUCCAGUCCCAACAUGAAAUAUGUAAAUUUAACAUGGGGUGCAAGACAAUCAGAGCUGAAGGAAAGUGUUAAACCCACACUUCAGCAUUUAACUUCAUUCUUCUUUGCAUGCGUACGGGACAGAACAGGUUAAAGAUCUGCAGUUGGUGAAGGUUUUCAAUUUUUAAGAAGUCCUUCACAAAUCCAUUCAAAGUAACAGAAAAUGUGAAUCUGGUCUGGUCUUGGUGUGUUUUUCUAUAUGUUCACCCACAUAAUCCAUAACUCAGACACUUGGAUUCCUAUUGAGACAGAUAUCUGGAAAUUUAUUAACAACAAUGUUCACUGAUAUGACAUCUCAGAUUUACAUAUUGUUUAAGUUCUGUGUUUAGUUAUAUUGCUACUAUUCUAGUUGACUGGUCAGCUAACAACUGACUGCUUGUCUGGACAGGAAAUAAGGUGGAAACUUUCUAUAUUAGAAUGUCACAAUAACACCUAGCUGUCUCAAAUGUGUAGUUUCUUUCUGAGAUCUUUGCAAUAAUGUGGGAUCCCUGUUUUUCCCUUUACAGAAUAGGAAAACUGAACAAGCCUAUGCAAUUGUACGUGAUAUUAUUACAUAAGGUAACACCUGGCAGGCAUUCAAUAUAACUGGAUCUGGUCCUCAUGCAAUUAUCAUGUGAAUCAGCUGUAAUUUCACUUUAUGGCAUGUGGUCUGUUGUCAUAAAUGAAUGUAUCAGGAGCCAUAACGUCUGCUUUGAUACUUUAAGCAUCCAAACCAUAAUUUUGACUGACAGUUGGUACCAGUCAUGGUACCUUUGUCCCAUAAAAGGGAAUUUGAUGAAGUGAUCAGUCACCAGAAUGUAGCAUUAUCACUAGACAUGCUAGUUGUGAUCUCGUACCACUAUUCAAUAGGACGUUCUAUCGGUAACCAAAAUUGAUGGAGUUGGCAUGUUUCCUACAUCGAUUGAUGUCUUUCCUGAUGCCGGGCCAAUAUAUAUUCUAUGUUUUGGUUUAUUGAUCUGCGUUUUAAGAUGGCACUGGAGAGUGGAGACACUAUACGACACUUUUCAUUGUGUUUUGUAACAAAAUAUACAUGACAGUAAAUAAAUAUAAAUCAAAUGUUUUUUUUCUUCAUCCAUGUGACCUAUGUGUUUUAUGCUCGAGGAUAUCUCAGUGUAGGGUUUAUGGAAUAAUACCUUGUUUGCCUCUGCACAUUAUAUUUCUAGAGAGGAUGAAUUCAUCUCUGAAUGGUCUGAUGGAACAUGCUUGCUCGGGGACCUGCUAGAUGAGAUUAGAUUAACUUACAG